rnacentral:rRNA from 1 species
GACGAACGCUGGCGGCGUGCUUAACACAUGCAAGUCGAACGGAAAGGCCCUGCUUGCAGGGUACUCGAGUGGCGAACGGGUGAGUAACACGUGGGUGAUCUGCCCUGCACUUCGGGAUAAGCCUGGGAAACUGGGUCUAAUACCGGAUAGGAGCCAUUUUUAGUGUGAUGGUUGGAAAGUUUUUUCGGUGUAGGAUGAGCUCGCGGCCUAUCAGCUUGUUGGUGGGGUAAUGGCCUACCAAGGCGGCGACGGGUAGCCGGCCUGAGAGGGUGGACGGCCACAUUGGGACUGAGAUACGGCCCAGACUCCUACGGGAGGCAGCAGUGGGGAAUAUUGCACAAUGGGCGCAAGCCUGACGCAGCGACGCCGCGUGGGGGAUGACGGCCUUCGGGUUGUAAACUCCUUUCGCUAGGGACGAAGCUUUUUGUGACGGUACCUAGAUAAGAAGCACCGGCUAACUACGUG